GAAUAUUGGACAAUGGGCGAGAGCCUGAUCCAGCCAUCCUGCGUGAAGGAUGAAGGCCCUCUGGGUUGUAAACUUCUUUUCUGGGAGAAGAAACCACUUUCUGCGGAGGUGUUGACGGUAUCCCAGGAAUAAGCACCGGCUAACUCCGUGCCAGCAGCCGCGGCAAUACGGAGGGUGCAAGCGUUAUCCGGAAUCACUGGGUUUAAAGGGUGCGUAGGCGGCCAAAUAAGUCAGGGGUGAAAGGUACCGGCUCAACCGGUAAAUUGCCUUUGAUACUGUAUGGCUUGAAUUGAGUUGAGGUUAGCGGAAUGUGACAUGUAGCGGUGAAAUGCAUAGAUAUGUCAUAGAACACCAAUUGCGAAGGCAGCUAGCUAGACUUGUAUUGACGCUGAGGCACGAAAGCGUGGGGAGCGAACAGG
rnacentral:rRNA from 1 species